rnacentral:misc_RNA from 1 species
GAUGAAGAACGCAGCGAAAUGCGAUAAGUAGUGUGAAUUGCAGAAUUCAGUGAAUCAUCGAAUCUUUGAACGCACAUUGCGCCCCUUGGUAUUCCAUGGGGCAUGCCUGUUCGAGCGUCAUUUGUACCUUCAAGCUUUGCUUGGUGUUGGGUGUUUGUCCCGAGGGACUCGCCUUAAAGUAAUUGGCAGCCAGUGUUUGGUUUUGAAGCGCAGCACAAGUCGCGAUUCAAGGCUACACGCCCGCUUCCACAAGCCUUUUUUCACUUUUGACCUCGAAUCAGGUAGGGAUACCCGCUGAACUUAAGCAUAUCAAUAAGCGGAGGA